CCUACGGGGCGCAGCAGUGGGGAAUAUUGCACAAUGGGGGAAACCCUGAUGCAGCGACGCCGCGUGAGCGAAGAAGUAUUUCGGUAUGUAAAGCUCUAUCAGCAGGGAAGAAAAUGACGGUACCUGAGUAAGAAGCUCCGGCUAAAUACGUGCCAGCAGCCGCGGUAAUACGUAUGGAGCAAGCGUUAUCCGGAUUUACUGGGUGUAAAGGGAGCGUAGACGGCACUGCAAGUCCGGAGUGAAAGCCCAAGGCUUAACCAUGGGACUGCUCUGGAACCUGUGUAGCUUGAGUGCGGG
rnacentral:rRNA from 1 species